rnacentral:rRNA from 1 species
GCGCAGCCUGAUCCAGCAAUGCCGCGUGAGUGAAGAAGGCCUUCGGGUUGUAAAGCUCUUUUGUCAGGGAAGAAACGGUGCGGGCUAAUAUCCUGUGCUAAUGACGGUACCUGAAGAAUAAGCACCGGCUAACUACGUGCCAGCAGCCGCGGUAAUACGUAGGGUGCAAGCGUUAAUCGGAAUUACUGGGCGUAAAGCGUGCGCAGGCGGUUUUGUAAGUUUGUCGUGAAAGCCCCGGGCUCAACCUGGGAAUUGCGAUGAAGACUGCAAGGCUUGAAUCUGGCAGAGGGGGGUAGAAUUCCACGUGUAGCAGUGAAAUGCGUAGAGAUGUGGAGGAACACCGAUGGCGAAGGCAGCCCCCUGGGUCAAGAUUGACGCUCAUGCACGAAAGCGUGGGGAGCAAACAGGAUUAGAUACCCUGGUAGUCCACGCCCUAAACGAUGUCUACUAGUUGUCGGGUUUUAAUUAACUUGGUAACGCAGCUAACGCGUGAAGUAGACCGCCUGGGGAGUACGGUCGCAAGAUUAAAACUCAAAGGAAUUGACGGGGACCCGCACAAGCGGUGGAUGAUGUGGAUUAAUUCGAUGCAACGCGAAAAACCUUACCUACCCUUGACAUGGACAGAAUCCCGGAGA